AAAGAGAUAAGAAGAAGAGGAAGAGGAAGGAGAGGAGGAGGAAGAAGAAGGAUUGGUAGAUGAGCCCCCUCUUAGUAGCUGGUCCGUAUUCAUCAUUGUGCGGUUUGCCUACUGUUAUUCAGUAUCUUUGAUGAGGUGGUGUUAGAGUUAGGAGCUAUUUGUUGGCAGAUUUUUAGUUUAUGGUUGAGAAUUGUAAUAAUGGGUGGUUGAGUACACAACUCAUGAAGAGAUUGAAAUAAAUAAAUUCUUUGAUUCUAUAUCUAUACUAUAAAGAACGACUUCUUUUGAAAACACCACCUACCAAGAGAUACACUCCCCUACCCCUCAUCCAGAACCCACCUGUCAGGACCGACCCUACCAAAGUGAUGGAUGAAAGGAGGUAGGGGAGGACAAUUUUUUGCAUGUUAGAAAAUACUUUUUGCGAUUCUAACGAUUUUUUCUCAUUGAUUGCCGAUUGUACCCGCCCGCCGUACCCACCCC
rnacentral:lncRNA from 1 species